rnacentral:lncRNA from 1 species
AACCUCUACUGCCAUACCACCAACACUCACCUCUGAAAUUGUGGGCCAACAUAAUAAAAUAGGAGGCAUUACUUUCAGAGCAGCAAUUGUAUUAAAAGGAGCUUCUGUAUUCUGCUUUUGAAAUAAAUAAUGUUCACAGGAAAUAAUUGAUAUGACUAUAAAUGAUGUGCUAUCUGCCCUAAAUUGUUAGGAAGAAGGAUGACUGAACAAUCAGGAAGGGCUACUUGGUCAAGAGCAUUCUUGUACAAACAAAGAAGUGUCCUGUUUGAAAGAGAGCUGAUCUUCUGCAACACGGUGUUACUGCUCAUUUGCUUGAGUUCUUCACAAAACAAGAAAACAGAAAUCAAAGCAAGGCAGCAGUGCAACCUGAACAGGUGGAGGACAGCAACAAGAAAAAUUCUUCAUGAAGCUGUUAGCUAGAGACAGAUCCCCAGAACAUAGAUGUGAUGACAAAAACACAGCACAUGCCCUAGGUCUACAGAAGUGGGCUCAUGAAUUUUAAACAAUCCUCCAGUGCUUUCAGUACUUCUACCUGAGCCUGAUGCUUUAUUUCACACAGUUAAAAAACAUGUUUCUAGGCAUGGCUGCGUGACAGUACAGCAGCCAAGCAGCAGAGACAGCUUUUACGUUGCUAUACACAAUAGUUAUUGCCAUUAUGGGAUAAAGGGACACAACAAUUGCCCUUAAUUUAGAAACAAAUAACAGAGGGAUGCUUAGCAGCUGCGGGAGUCAUAUAUGCACAUGCUCUAACAGAGAAUCUGUACAGCAGGAGCAAGAGGAUGUGUUUUCAAGAUGACAUGGAAGAAGCCCACUUUGAAGUUCCCAGGCUGAGUAAAAUCAAUAUCUAAACACUUCAGUGAAAUGCGUUUGAUGUUGUCUACAUGUAGAAGCCCAACAGAGGCCACUUAUUAUUGAAUAGUACUAGACUGAGCAAAGUAGGUCACAUUACAGCUUUGUUUGGGAAGCUACAUUGUAUCUGCCAGAACAGCAUCCUUAAUGCAUAGCGUCUAGCACUGGAGAAUAGGUAGGUAUGCACCCGAACCACCUGCAGGAGUGAGUACACAGACAAACAGAUCCCAUCGAUGAUUGCUCUCUGAAACAUUCAUUGGUUCAGUUGCCAGCUUCUGUCAAGUGGCUGCUUGAACCCAUCUCACAUGCCAGACAUUUUGCAAAGGCUAUUUAUAAAGUCUCUGUGACUGUGGUGGUGCUGAAGGUCUGUCAGCAUUUCCA